rnacentral:tRNA from 1 species
AUUUAAAUAGCUUAUAAAUAUAAAGUAUUAUAAUGAAGAUAUAAAGAAAAUUAAAUUAAUUUUUAAAUA